GACGAACGCUGGCGGCGUGCUUAACACAUGCAAGUCGAACGAGUGGCGAACGGGUGAGUAACGCGUAGGUAACUACCUAUUAGAGGGGGAUAACUAUUGGAAACGAUAGCUAAUACCGCAUACUAGUAGAUGGAACUGCGGUGUAUUAGGUAGUAGGUAGGGUAAUGGCCUACCUAGGCAACGAUACAUAACCGACCUGAGAGGGGGAUCGGCCACACAGGGACGGGGACACGGCCCAGGAGCCCACCGGAGGCAGCAGUAGGGAAUCUUCGGCAAUUGGGCGAACCCUGACCGAGCCACGCCGCGGUGGUGAAGAAGGUUUUCGGAUCGUAAAGCUUUGUUGUUAAGGAAGCGGUACUUAACCAGAAAGGGACGGCUAACUACGUGCCAGCAGCCGCGGUAAUAC
rnacentral:rRNA from 1 species